rnacentral:rRNA from 1 species
GAUGAACGCUGGCGGCGUGCCUAAUACAUGCAAGUCGAGCGAACGGACGAGAAGCUUGCUUCUCUGAUGUUAGCGGCGGACGGGUGAGUAACACGUGGAUAACCUACCUAUAAGACUGGGAUAACUUCGGGAAACCGGAGCUAAUACCGGAUAAUAUUUUGAACCGCAUGGUUCAAAAGUGAAAGACGGUCUUGCUGUCACUUAUAGAUGGAUCCGCGCUGCAUUAGCUAGUUGGUAAGGUAACGGCUUACCAAGGCAACGAUGCAUAGCCGACCUGAGAGGGUGAGCAGCCACACUGGAACUGAGACACGGUCCAGACUCCUACGGGAGGCAGCAGUAGGGAAUCUUCCGCAAUGGGCGAAAGCCUGACGGAGCAACGCCGCGUGAGUGAUGAAGGUCUUCGGAUCGUAAAACUCUGUUAUUAGGGAAGAACAUAUGUGUAAGUAACUGUGCACAUCUUGACGGUACCUAAUCAGAAAGCCACGGCUAACUACGUG